rnacentral:misc_RNA from 1 species
CAUUUUCGUUUUUUUUUUUUUCACGCCCGGUUCGCUUGACGAUCCCCCAUGGCGGUUGAGGCGCGCCGGAAAUCGCCUCAAACGCCUUUGGCAUUUGGCCGCGGUGUCGGGCUCGUUCCGAGCUUUCCGAAACGUACUCACGGGCCCCGUGAGUCCAUCGGGAUCGAAAGUUAGGCACGUAAACGCGGAGACGCGCGGAUUACGUUCAUUGAGAAAUUCUCCAUUUNUCGAUCGCGCGACGGGUCCUUGAGAGGGGGAAGUUGAACACUCCAGACAUUUUUC